rnacentral:rRNA from 1 species
AUUGAACGCUGGCGGCAUGCUUUACACAUGCAAGUCGGACGAGUGGCGAACGGGUGAGUAACAUAUCGGAACGUGCCGAGUAAUGGGGGAUAACUAAUCGAAAGAUUAGCUAAUACCGCAUAAUGUUCGAGCGGCCGAUAUCUGAUUAGCUGGUCGGUGGGGUAAAGGCCUACCAAGGCGACGAUGAGUAGCGGGCCUGAGAGGAUGAUCCGCCACACUGGGACUGAGGCACGGCCCAGACUCCUACGGGAGGCAGCAGUAGGGAAUUUUGGGCAAUGGGCGCAAGCCUGAUCCAGCCAUGCCGCGUGUCUGAAGAAGGCCUUCGGAUUGUAAAGGACUGUUGUCAGGGAAGCGGUACCUGAAGAAUAAGCACCGGCUAACUACGUGCCAGCAGCCGCGGUAAUAC